rnacentral:lncRNA from 1 species
AUCGGAGCAGCCAUCGCCGCCUUCUACCACCAGUUUAUCUUGAGAGCCGGUGCAGCCAAGGCCCUUGGAUCUUUCAGGAGCAGUGGCCAUGUUUGAGAUACGGAUGCAUUAUAUUGUUCGCAAAAAGAUUGGGGAAAAAAUUGUUUAACUGUGGAUGAAAGUAUGUGGUGUUUUGGUGUUAAGAGUGUUCUGUAUGUCUUGUUUAAGGUUUUAUUGCGAACCAUGGAAAUGCAAUGUAAAUUCUUUUUUAGGGGUACCCCUGCCCCUCGUGUUAUUCUUGCCACUUCAGAAACUUUGUAUUUACUCAAAUUAUUUCCAAGUUUUUUCUGUGUUAUUGAGAAUGUUGUCUUAUGUAAGAAUUAAAUGUUUAAUUCUGAGAAUGUUACUUAUUACAAUAUAAUAUGAUAUUAACCUAUAA